AUUGAACGCUGGCGGCAUGCCUUACACAUGCAAGUCGAACGGCAGCACGGGAGCAAUCCUGGUGGCGAGUGGCGAACGGGUGAGUAAUAUAUCGGAACGUGCCCAGUCGUGGGGAUAACGUAGCGAAAGCUACGCUAAUACCGCAUACGAUCUACGGAUGAAAGCGGGGGAUCGCAAGACCUCGCGCGAUUGGAGCGGCCGAUAUCAGAUUAGGUAGUUGGUGAGGUAAAGGCUCACCAAGCCGACGAUCUGUAGCUGGUCUGAGAGGACGACCAGCCACACUGGGACUGAGACACGGCCCAGACUCCUACGGAGGCAGCAGUGGGGAAUUUUGGACAAUGGGCGCAAGCCUGAUCCAGCAAUGCCGCGUGCAGGAUGAAGGCCUUCGGUGUAACUGCUUUGUAC
rnacentral:rRNA from 1 species